rnacentral:rRNA from 1 species
UACGUAGGGAGCAAGCGUUGUCCGGAAUCAUUGGGCGUAAAGCGCGCGUAGGUGGCCCCAUAAGUCCGCUGUGAAAGUCAAAGGCUCAACCUUUGAAAGCCGGUGGAUACUGUGAGGCUAGAGUACGGAAGAGGCGAGUGGAAUUCCUGGUGUAGCGGUGGAAUGCGCAGAUAUCAGGAGGAACACCAAUAGCGAAGGCAGCUCGCUGGGACGUUACUGACACUGAGGCGCGAAAGCGUGGGGAGCGAACAGG